UCCAAAGUAGACGAUGCGCAUUUAAUCAGGAUAGCCACCAAAGGCUACAGUAUAUAUACAUAGCAUUUUAACAUUGUCUGUACCAAACAACAAACAUAAUGAAGGGCUUUGUACUGAUGUCAGUUGUGUGUUUAUUAUUUAUCACAAUAAGCACUAACAUGUUGGCAGAAGGUCGUCCACAGCCAUGCUGUGCUUGCGUCCGAGCACCGUGUAAUUGUCCACCAUGCACUCCCACCUGGCCAACAUACAAACCACGCCGACGAUAUCCUUGGAUUGGAUAGACUAAUAUUUAUAGAAAUCUUUAAAUGAUUUAAUUAUUUGAGUUUACACUAGAAUUAGAAGGCAUGACAACAUUGUUAUUACAAUCUGAAGCACACAAAAAAAACAGAAAUUAAUUUCGCAUGUUAUUAGGUACCAAAGUAAUCAAAAUAAAAUUGUGUUAUUUUAA